rnacentral:lncRNA from 10 species
CCAGAACAGUCCCCUGCUGCUGCAUUGAAUGAAUCUCAUCUCACUUCCUCGAGUCAGCCCUACCUAUAUUUGAUGAUCACAAACCUUAUCCUUACGUUGCCAGCAGUAACAUUCUGCAUCCCUCACCCACUCCACUGUGUCCUUUUCCUCCCACUGAUCUUCACUCUGCCUUUUCUAGGGGAACUCUGAACAGUAUUUCUGAGAAGGGAUGAGGAAACUGAGGCUCAAAGAAGAUAAUGUGCCCAAGGUCACCUCGCUAGGAAAGAGUGGAGCUGAGAUUUAAACUGUGACUUUAAGCCCAAGUUCAAGGCUUCUUACUAGUUUUAACUACAUUCCCAUACCCCUUUUAAUCAAUCAUGUAAAUAAAAUCUUAAUUCUUUUAAAAAAUU